rnacentral:rRNA from 1 species
UACGUAGGGUGCGAGCGUUAAUCGGAAUUACUGGGCGUAAAGCGUGCGCAGGCGGUUCGUGAUGUCUGGUGUGAAAGCCCCGGGCUUAACCUGGGAAUUGCAUUGGAAACUAGCGGGCUGGAGUGUGGCAGAGGGGGGUGGAAUUCCACGUGUAGCAGUGAAAUGCGUAGAUAUCAGGAGGAAUACCGAUGGCGAAGGCAGGUCUCUGGGCUGACACUGACGCUCAUGCACGAAAGCGUGGGGAGCAAACAGG